rnacentral:rRNA from 1 species
AACGAACGCUGGCGGCAUGCCUAACACAUGCAAGUCGAACGAGACCUUCGGGUCUAGUGGCGCACGGGUGCGUAACGCGUGGGAACCUGCCCUUAGGUUCGGAAUAACUCCCCGAAAGGGGUGCUAAUACCGGAUAAUGUCUUCGGACCAAAGAUUUAUCGCCUUUGGAUGGGCCCGCGUUGGAUUAGCUAGUUGGUAGGGUAAAAGCCUACCAAGGCGACAAUCCAUAGCUGGUCUGAGAGGAUGAUCAGCCACACUGGGACCGAGACACGGCCCAGACUCCUACGGGAGGCAGCAGUGGGGAAUAUUGGACAAUGGGCGAAAGCCUGAUCCAGCAAUGCCGCGUGAGUGAUGAAGGCCUUAGGGUUGUAAAGCUCUUUUACCCGGGAUGAUAAUGACAGUACCGGGAGAAUAAGCGCCGGCUAACUCCGUG